CAGCCGCCGCGGUAAUACGUAGGUGGCAAGCGUUGUCCGGAAUUAUUGGGCGUAAAGGGCUCGCAGGCGGUUUCUUAAGUCUGAUGUGAAAGCCCCCGGCUCAACCGGGGAGGGUCAUUGGAAACUGGGAAACUUGAGUGCAGAAGAGGAGAGUGGAAUUCCACGUGUAGCGGUGAAAUGCGUAGAGAUGUGGAGGAACACCAGUGGCGAAGGCGACUCUCUGGUCUGUAACUGACGCUGAGGAGCGAAAGCGUGGGGAGCAAACAGGAUUAGAGACCCGCGUAGUCCCUGUCUCUUAUAC
rnacentral:rRNA from 1 species